rnacentral:rRNA from 1 species
UGAGACAAUCUGCCCUUCUCAUCGGAAUAAGCGUUGGAAACGACGUCUAAUGCCGAAUACGACCUCCUUUCACAUGAUCGGAGGUGGAAAGCUCCGGGCGGGGAAGGAUGAGCUCGCGGCCUAUCAGCUAGUUGGUGUGGGUAACGGCCCACCAAGGCGACGACGGGUAGCCGGCCUGAGAGGGUGACCGGCCACCCGUGGGACUGAGACACGGCCCAGACCUCCGUACGGGAGGCAGNAGGUAGGGG